rnacentral:rRNA from 1 species
AUUGAACGCUGGCGGCAUGCCUUACACAUGCAAGUCGAACGGUAACGGGUCUUCGGGUGCCGACGAGUGGCGAACGGGUUAGUAAUACAUCGGAACGUGCCCGCUCGUGUGGGGUAACGAGGCCAAAGCUUUGCUAAUACCGCAUACGAUCUACGGAUGAAACCCGUGGACCGUAAGGCCUUGCGCUGACGGAGCGGCCGAUGGCAGAUUAGGUAGUUGGUGGGAUAAAAGCUUACCAAGCCGACGAUCUGUAGCUGGUCUGAGAGGAUGAUCAGCCACACUGGGACUGAGACACGGCCAAGACGCCUACGGGAGGCAGCAGUGGGGAAUUUUGGACAAUGGGGGCAAGCCUGAUCCAGACAUGCCGCGUGCAGGAUGAAGGCCUUCGGGUUGUAAACUGCUUUUGUACGGAACGAAAAGCCUUCUUUUAAUACAGGAGGGUCAUGACGGUACCGGAAGAAUAAGCACCGGCUAACUACGUG